rnacentral:rRNA from 1 species
CCUACGGGAGGCAGCAGUGGGGGAUAUUGCACAAUGGGGGAAACCCUGAUGCAGCAACGCCGCGUGAGUGAAGAAGUAUUUCGGUAUGUAAAGCUCUAUUAGCAGGGAAGAGAAUGACGGUACCUGACUAAGAAGCCCCGGCUAACUACGGGCCAGCAGCCGCGGUCAUACGUAGGGGGAGCGCGUUAUCCGGAUUUACUGGGUGUAAAGGGAGCGUAGUCGGCUGGGCAAGUCUGAAGUGAAAGCCCGGGGCUUAACCCCGGAACGGCUUUGGAAACUGAGCAGCUAGAGGGCUGGAGAGGUAAGCGGAAUUCCUAGUGUAGCGGUGAAAUGCGUAGAUAUUAGGAGGAACACCAGUGGCGAAGGCGGCUUACUGGACAGUAACUGACGUUGAGGCUCGAAAGCGUGGGGAGCAAACAGGAUUAGAUACCCCAGUAGUC